rnacentral:rRNA from 1 species
AACGAACGCUGGCGGCGUGGAUAAGACAUGCAAGUCGAACGGGACUAAAUCUGUAGCAAUACAGGUUUAGUUUAGUGGCGAACGGGUGCGUAACACGUGGGCAAUCUGCCGAGAAGUGGGGGGAUAGCUCGCCGAAAGGCGAAUUAAUACCGCAUAUGAUCAGCUAAGACAUCUUAGCGACAUCAAAGCCGGGGCAACCUGGCGCUUCUUGAUGAGCCCGCGGCCUAUCAGCUAGUUGGUGAGGUAACGGCUCACCAAGGCUAUGACGGGUAGCUGGUCUGAGAGGACGACCAGUCACACU